rnacentral:rRNA from 1 species
UACGUAGGCAGCGAGCGUUGUUCGGAAUUACUGGGCGUAAAGAGUGUGUAGGCGGUGUUCCCAGUCUGUUGUGAAAUCUCCCGGCUUAACUGGGAGGGUGCAGCGGAAACUAGAAUGCUAGAGGGUGGGAGAGGUAAGCGGAAUUCCUGGUGUAGCGGUGAAAUGCGUAGAUAUCAGGAGGAACACCCGUAGCGAAGGCGGCACUCUGGGCCGGAACUGACGCUGAGGAGCGAAAGCGUGGGUAGCGAACAGG